GUGGAGUUCCAUCCCUGGCCCGCAGUCCGCACAAUCGAUAAUUUCACCGAUAUUAACAGCUGUUUAUAAGAGAAGAAACGCAUCACUAACAAGAAAACAAAACAGCUGCCGCGCAAUUGAAAAUUGCGCAAAAACAAAAGGAAAUCCAAAACAAACUAUUGACGACGGGCCACAGCUGGACCCCGGCGUACCCACCCUGCCUGAGAUGGCCACAUCGGCGCCAUCUCCCUUGCGUUGGCCACCAUCAGUGGCCGCUCCUCAUCCGGCGUAGUGCUGUGGAAUUCCCCUCCCCUCCAUGCUGAGAAACUUACACAACCAUGUUCAUCAUAACAUACAAAUAUUUGGACUUUAAAACGGCAAAGGAACAAGAUUCAUAAACCACGCAGUACGACGAGCGAAACCAACAUGUAGCCGCAACGGCGUAAAGGACAACUUUUAUUAUAUGUAACACCUUCAGGAGAUGGAGCUCUUGGGAUUGGUAAAGGGGGCGAUAUGAGUGAUGAUUGAAAAAAAUAUGUGUAUAUAUAUAUAUAAAUUAGUAAACAUUAACACAUAAUCCCGCAGCAAGUAGA